UACGUAGGGUGCAAGCGUUGUCCGGAAUUAUUGGGCGUAAAGAGCUCGUAGGCGGUUUGUCGCGUCUGCUGUGAAAAUCCAGGGCUUAACCCUGGACCUGCAGUGGGUACGGGCAGACUGGAGUGCGGUAGGGGAGAUCGGAAUUCCUGGUGUAGCGGUGAAAUGCGCAGAUAUCAGGAGGAACACCGGUGGCGAAGGCGGUUCUCUGGGAAUGUCCUGACGCUGAGACGCGAAAGCGUGGGGAGCGAACAGG
rnacentral:rRNA from 1 species